ACCGAAUACCGAAUUAUUUCUGUUGGGCUCCUAAAAAUUCCUUUUAAUUUUUAAACAUAAAGGGCUAUAGGCCCAUUCCUAUAAUUUAAUCCAGCCCAAGCCCAAUUGUCUUCAACAUACCCUAACUCCCUAAGUGAAGUCCCUAACAGACUAACACUUAACCUAUUCAGUAUUCAUCUCAAUACUUCACUACUAUUGAAGUUCUGCUUCUGCCAUUCACGCCUCCUUCACUUCAGCCCUUCAACUUCACUACUACAGUUUGCCCCAUGGAAUCCAUCAGAAGUGCUUAUAACUUCAGCUGAUUCUCGUAUCAGAAUUUUUGACGGAUCAGAUAUGAUCUAUAAGUUUAGAGGUGCUGUUGACUGUUGUGUGUAGUGUUGCAGCUUGUGUCUAGAAUUUGAUAAUAAUUUGACCAUAAUUAACAGACAACUUGGUUGGAACCCAAAGACAUCCCUAUGGGACUUGCUUGAAUCCACACCCACAUACCAACAUAGGACAUAUGCUGAGGCUGUCAAGCAGGCAAUGUCAAAGACAACUGCAAAUUGAAUGAAGUCAGGAACAGAGCUUUACUGUAUGCUUCAUGUUGGCAGGCUUUCAUAUUCUUUUGAAGAAUCUUCAUCUACUCGGUUUGACUUCAUCCACGUUAUUCUUUUUGUCAUCCACUUCAUGCAAAGGUCAUGGCCAUAAACAUCAUGUUUUCGUGUCAUAUGUAGUGUAAUGCCAUUAAAGCCUUAGCUACAACAGUUUUCGACACAUUAGUCAAAGGAAGCCUGCAAUCUGCUCAUAGAAGUUUUGUUGUCAUUAUAUUAUCAUUCUUCGGUAUGGAAGUAUGUUGUAUCAUUCCACUGAGAUUUUCCUAAUCUAUUACUUUAUUUGUUUGAUUAAACUGUCCUUUUACUUUAUUGUCUAUGUUAGAUAAUGUUAAUCUCCCAAGUACUUGUUUUUACAAUAUAUAUGACUUCUCCAAUUUUCUGUA